UUUCCCUCAGGAUAGCUGGCACUCGCUUGAGCGAGUCUCAUCUGGUAAAGCGAAUGAUUAGAGGCCUUGGGGCCGAAACGACCUCAACCUAUUCUCAAACUUUAAAUGGGUGAGAUCUCUGGCUUGCUUGAAUAUUGAAGCCACGAGAGAAAAUUAUAUAUAUUUAUAUANNNAAAAUAAAGGAUCAGAGUGCCAAGUGGGCCAAUUUUGGUAAGCAGAACUGGCGCUGUGGGA
rnacentral:rRNA from 1 species